rnacentral:rRNA from 1 species
AUUGAACGCUGGCGGCAGGCCUAACACAUGCAAGUCGAAUGGUAACAGGAAGCAGCUUGCUGUUUCGCUGACGAGUGGCGGACGGGUGAGUAAUGUCUGGGAAACUGCCUGAUGGAGGGGGAUAACUACUGGAAACGGUAGCUAAUACCGCAUAACGUCGCAAGACCAAAGAGGGGGACCUUCGGGCCUCUUGCCAUCAGAUGUGCCCAGAUGGGAUUAGCUAGUAGGUGGGGUAACGGCUCACCUAGGCGACGAUCCCUAGCUGGUCUGAGAGGAUGACCAGCCACACUGGAACUGAGACACGGUCCAGACUCCUACGGGAGGCAGCAGUGGGGAAUAUUGCACAAUGGGCGCAAGCCUGAUGCAGCCAUGCCGCGUGUAUGAAGAAGGCCUUCGGGUUGUAAAGUACUUUCAGCGGGGAGGAAGGGAGUAAAGUUAAUACCUUUGCUCAUUGACGUUACCCGCAGAAGAAGCACCGGCUAACUCCGUG